UACGUAGGGGGCAAGCGUUGUCCGGAUUUAUUGGGCGUAAAGAGCGUGUAGGCGGCCAGGUAGGUCCGUUGUGAAAACUGGAGGCUUAACCUCCAGCUGUCGAUGGAAACCAUCUGGCUAGAGUCCGGAAGAGGAGAGUGGAAUUCCUGGUGUAGCGGUGAAAUGCGCAGAUAUCAGGAAGAACACCCGUGGCGAAGGCGACUCUCUGGGACGGUACUGACGCUGAGACGCGAAAGCGUGGGGAGCGAACAGG
rnacentral:rRNA from 1 species